AUUGAACGCUGGCGGAAUGCUUUACACAUGCAAGUCGAACGGCAGCACGGAGAGCUUGCUCUCUGGUGGCGAGUGGCGAACGGGUGAGUAAUAUAUCGGAACGUGUCCAAUAAUGGGGGAUAACGAGUCGAAAGAUUCGCUAAUACCGCAUACGCCCUACGGGGGAAAGCAGGGGAUCGUAAGACCUUGCGUUAAUGGAGCGGCCGAUAUCUGAUUAGCUUGUUGGUGAGGUAAAGGCUCACCAAGGCGACGAUCAGUAGCUGGUUUGAGAGAACGACCAGCCACACUGGAACUGAGACACGGUCCAGACUCCUACGGGAGGCAGCAGUGGGGAAUUUUGGACAAUGGGGGCAACCCUGAUCCAGCCAUUCCGCGUGAGUGAAGAAGGCCUUCGGGUUGUAAAGCUCUUUCGCAAGGGAAGAAAACUUAUGAUCGAAUAAAUCAUGAGGUUGACGGUACCUUGAUAAGAAGCACCGGCUAACUACGUGCCAGCCGCCGCCGUAA
rnacentral:rRNA from 1 species